rnacentral:rRNA from 1 species
AUGAACGCUAGCGGCAGGCUUAAUACAUGCAAGUCGAGGGGCAGCGGGAUGUAGCAAUACAUUGCCGGCGACCGGCAAACGGGUGCGGAACACGUACACAACCUUCCUUCAAGCGGGGGAUAGCCCAGAGAAAUUUGGAUUAAUACCCCAUAGGAUGACCGGAUGGCAUCAUUUGGUCAUUAAAGAUUUAUUACUUGAAGAUGGGUGUGCGUCUGAUUAGGUAGUUGGGGGGCGGUGGGGGUAACGGCCCACCAAGCCGACGAUCAGUAGCUGAUGUGAGAGCAUGAUCAGCCACACGGGCACUGAGACACGGGCCCGACUCCUACGGGAGGCAGCAGUAAGGAAUAUUGGACAAUGGACGCAAGUCUGAUCCAGCCAUGCCGCGUGAAGGAUUAAGGUCCUCUGGAUUGUAAACUUCUUUUAUAUGGGACGAAAAAAGAUCAUUCUUGAUCACUUGACGGUACCAUGUGAAUAAGCACCGGCUAACUCCGUGCCAGCAGCCGCGGUAAUACGGAGGGUGCAAGCGUUAUCCGGAUUCACUGGGUUUAAAGGGUGCGUAGGCGGAUAUUUAGUCAGUGGUGAAAUCCUGGAGCUUAACUCCAGAACUGCCAUUGAUACUAUUUAUCUUGAAUAUUGUGAGGUUUGCGGAAUAUGUCAUUGUAGCGGUGAAAUGCAUAGAUAGACAUAGAACACCUAUUGCGAAGGCAGCAGGCUACAACAUAUAUUGACGCUGAGGCACGAAAGCGUGGGGAUCAAACAGGAUUAGAUACCCUGGUAGUCCACGCCCUAAACGAUGGAUACUCGACAUACGCGAUACACUGUGUGUGUCUGAGCGAAAGCAUUAAGUAUCCCACCUGGGAAGUACGACCGCAAGGUUGAAAACUCAAAGGAAUCGGCGGGGGUCCGCACAAGCGGUGGAGCAUGUGGUUUAAUUCGACGCUACGCGAAGAACCUUACCCGGGUUUGAAAUCCAGGGGAAGACUGCAGAGAUGUAGUCGCCGGGCAACCGGCCGCUGGACAGGUGCUGCAUGUGUUGUCGUCAGCUCGUGCCGUGGAGGUGUUGGGUUAAGUCCCGCAACGAGCGCAACCCUUAUUCUUAGUUGCCAUCGGGUAAAGCGAGCACUCUGGGGAGACUGCCGCCAUAAGGCGGAGGAAGGUGGGGAUGACGUCAAAUCAGCAUGGCCCUUACAUCCGGGGCUACACACGUGCUACAAUGGCCGGGUACAAAGGGCUGCGAUACCGCGAGGUGGAGCGAAUCCCAUUGAAAGCCGGUCUCAGUUCGGAUUGCAGGCUGCAAUUCGCCUGCAUGAAGUCGGAAUCACUAGUAACCGCAGAUCAGCUACGCUGCGGUGAAUGCGUUCCCGGGCCUUGUACACACCGCCCGUCACGUCAUGAAAGUGAGUUGUACCCGAAGUCGCUGGCCCAACCGCAGGAGGGAGGCGCCCGAAGGUAUGAUUCAUGAU